UGAUUUUUUCAUGUGUACAGAAUCUCAUUUCAAUUAAGACACACAACUUUCCCAAACACCAUUUUCACAUUUCAGUUUGAAAUGGUUUAUCACACGACGUCGUUUUUGGUACCUCUCCAUUUAUACAGGGAAAUCCUCAAGGAGAAUAAGUAAUGAGGAAUUGAUGCAUUGUGCCUUUUAGGAGAAUGUUACAGUUCUGCAACACAUGAUGCAACCGAAACAAAACAGUUUCUGGAGAUAACGAUACCGAAACAAGCUGCUAUAACGAGGUGCUUUCAAAUCAUAGGAGAUAGCCGCCACAGAACAAUGUCAUGGCCUUAAUGGAAUGGAUUUGCGUCUAUAAUGGACGAGACGAAGGUGUUUCCACCACAACAAAGUUUUUCGAUUCUCAACUCUCAUUUCAGAUGAACUAGCAUAAAAAUUCCAUAUUUUGCAUCAUCCACAUCAACCCUUACCUGAUUAAACCGGAAUCUCACUAGGUCCCUUCACCUCCCUGUUCUUCUCUGCCGCUGCAUGUCACUGGAUCCAAUCUUGUCAAGCUCUGUCACACGAGUGGUAGGAAUCAUCCCCGGUAGUAGCUUGCUCAGUCGCUGGUCGCAGCUUGCUUGGCUGCAGAUGGUAGGUGUACAUCUGAAAUUGUAGACUAAAGAUCUUUGGUUUUGGUUGCAAGUUAACUGGGAGAGAUUAGGCACUUUGUAAAAGAAAUUCUUUUCCACUUUUGAGCUUUUGAUUUACCAUGUUUUAAACUUUUGGAUCCUAUAUAUGGAUUUAUGGUUAAUAUUAAACUUAAAACUUCAGGUUUUUCCCUUUAAAACAUUAUUAACAUUUUUUCUGUUUCUGUUGAAAUACUAGGUUAGUGGUGAUUUAGGUCAGCAUCCUGUGAUUCCUGAAGGAUAAAAGUCCUAAGUUGACCUAUAUGUAUAUUUCAUUCAAUUUUAAAGGCAGUGCUCAAAUGUAUUACUAGUCAGAUCAAAUC